AUUGAACGCUGGCGGCAGGCCUAACACAUGCAAGUCGAGCGGAUGAAGAGAGCUUGCUCUCUGAUUCAGCGGCGGACGGGUGAGUAAUGCCUAGGAAUCUGCCUGGUAGUGGGGGACAACGUUUCGAAAGGAACGCUAAUACCGCAUACGUCCUACGGGAGAAAGCAGGGGACCUUCGGGCCUUGCGCUAUCAGAUGAGCCUAGGUCGGAUUAGCUAGUAGGUGAGGUAAUGGCUCACCUAGGCGACGAUCCGUAACUGGUCUGAGAGGAUGAUCAGUCACACUGGAACUGAGACACGGUCCAGACUCCUACGGGAGGCAGCAGUGGGGAAUAUUGGACAAUGGGCGAAAGCCUGAUCCAGCCAUGCCGCGUGUGUGAAGAAGGUCUUCGGAUUGUAAAGCACUUUAAGUUGGGAGGAAGGGCAGUAAGUUAAUACCUUGCUGUUUUGACGUUACCAACAGAAUAAGCACCGGCUAACUUCGUGCCAGCAGCCGCCGUAAUAC
rnacentral:rRNA from 1 species